GUGAAAUCCCCGGGCUCAACCUGGGAACUGCAUUUGGAACUGGAAGACUAGAGUGUAGCAGAGGGGGGUAGAAUUCCACGUGUAGCAGUGAAAUGCGUAGAUAUGUGGAGGAAUACCAAUGGCGAAGGCAGCCCCCUUGGGUUAACACUUGACGCUCAUUGCACGAAAAGCGUGGGGGAGCAAACAGGAUUAGAUACCCCUGGUAGUCCACGCCCUAAACGAUGUCAAAUAGGUGUUGGGGGAGGAGACUUCCUUAGUACCGCAGCUAACGCGUGAAGUUGACCGCCUGGGGAGUACGGUCGCAAGAUUAAAACUCAAAGGAAUUGACGGGGACCCGCACAAGCGGUGGAUUAUGUGGAUUAAUUCGAUGCAACGCGAAAAACCUUACCUACCCUUGACAUGUACGGAAUUUUCCAGAGAUGGAUUAGUGCUCGAAAGAGAACCGUAACACAGGUGCUGCAUGGCUGUCGUCAGCUCGUGUCGUGAGAUGUUGGGUUAAGUCCCGCAACGAGCGCAACCCUUGUCAUUAAUUGCCAUCAUUUAGUUGGGCACUUUAAUGAGACUGCCGGUGAUAAACCGGAGGAAGGUGGGGAUGACGUCAAGUCCUCAUGGCCCUUAUGGGUAGGGCUUCACACGUAAUACAAUGGCGCGUACAGAGGGUUGCCAACCCGCGAGGGGGAGCUAAUCUCA
rnacentral:rRNA from 1 species